AGGUUGCAUUGUAUUGUUCUCAAGAAAUUGUCGCAAAUUUGUCGUUUUAAUUGCUUGUGUGGGCCUUAAAGUCAUUCAUAUCGAAGGAUAGACCUCUUAAGAUGGACAAAAAAGGAUAAGACCUGCCCCUGGACAAGAAAGAAAAAAUGGAAAAAGAGGUGUAUUCUAGCAAAGAUGAGGAUGAUAGUGAUACUGAUAGCGAGGGAACUUUUGUGUUCGAAAAGAUUGAGGGGGACAGAACACAAAAGGCCCGCAAUGAUGAAAUUGACGAGAAGAUACC